AAUGAACGCUAGCGACAGGCCUAACACAUGCAAGUCGAGGGGUAACUAGAGUGAUAGCAAUAUUACUUUGGCUAGACCGGCGCACGGGUGCGUAACACGUAUGCAACCUACCUUAUACUGGGGAAUAACUUCGAGAAAUCGGCGCUAAUACCCCAUAACAUUGCGAAGAGGCAUCUCUUUGCAAUUAAAGCUCCGGCGGUAUAAGAUGGGCAUGCGUCCAAUUAGCUAGUUGGUGAGGUAACGGCUCACCAAGGCUACGAUUGGUAGGGGUUCUGAGAGGAUGAUCCCCCACACUGGUACUGAGACACGGACCAGACUCCUACGGGAGGCAGCAGUGAGGAAUAUUGCGCAAUGGACGAAAGUCUGACGCAGCCAUGCCGCGUGCAGGAUGACGGCCCUAUGGGUUGUAAACUGCUUUUGUACGGGAAUAAACCCUUCUACGUGUAGGAGGCUGAAGGUACCGUAAGAAUAAGCACCGGCUAACUCCGUGCCAGCCGCCGCAGUAAGAC
rnacentral:rRNA from 1 species